UACGGGGGAGCAAGCGUUGUUCGGAUUUACUGGGCGUAAAGGGCGCGUAGGCGGUCGUGACAAGUCACUUGUGAAAUCUCCGGGCUUAACUCGGAACGGUCAAGUGAUACUGUCGGACUAGAGUACAGAAGGGGCAACUGGAAUUCUCGGUGUAGCGGUGAAAUGCGUAGAUAUCGAGAGGAACACCUGCGGCGAAGGCGGGUUGCUGGGCUGAUACUGACGCUGAGGCGCGAAAGCCCGGGGAGCGAACGGGG
rnacentral:rRNA from 1 species